rnacentral:miRNA from 1 species
AUUUCCCUGCCAUUCCCUUGGC